rnacentral:rRNA from 1 species
AUUGAACGCUGGCGGCAGGCCUAACACAUGCAAGUCGAACGAGUGGCGGACGGGUGAGUAAUGUCUGGGAAACUGCCUGAUGGAGGGGGAUAACUACUGGAAACGGUAGCUAAUACCGCAUGCCAUCAGAUGUGCCCUGAUGGGAUUAGCUUGUUGGUGGGGUAACGGCUAACCAAUGCGACGAUCCCUAGCUGGUCUGAGAGGAUAGCCGGCCACACAUGAACUGAACCACGGUCCAGACUCCUACGGGAGGCAGCAGUAGGGAAUCUUGCACAAUGGGCGAAAGCCUGAUGCAGCCAUGCCGCGUGUAUGAAGAAGGCCUUCGGGUUGUAAAGUACUUUCAGCGGGGAGACGUUACCCACAGAAGAAGCACCGGCUAACUCCGUGCCAGCAGCCGCGGUAAUUC